rnacentral:lncRNA from 14 species
GUUUUUACUUACACCUUAGUAGAGCCCCUAUAGGGCCGUAAAGCAAGUCUCUGCUUUAUGCCCCCAGUACCCUAAUGCAUGUGUAUGGGUUUCUUCUGCCUCUCUGUACAGUUACAGGCUCCGCAUGGCCUCUAGAUGUCCUUCCUCCUCUUCUCAUAACACCAGCAGCAGGCAAUGCAAGAAAUCCAACUGCAUCGCACCCCAGUUCCUUAAGGAAUAGACUCUUCUGCAUGUCCAACCACUCCAGGUACUAAGAACUUGGAAAAGGUGAGGUGAAGUGAUCCUCAAGCAUUAUCCUUUCCUGCUUUUUCUCACGCGAGGUGAGACAGGUUCCUCAGCAGGUAACAGGGACAGUAGUUUCUUCUGCUGGAAGCACUGGCUCGCUUGCUGUCACAUCGUCCUUCCUUCCAGAGGGAGAGAGAACAGAGCAGGCCUCCUGCCUUCUCCAGAGAGUGAUGAUCUGUGGCUGCUGGUGAGGGGUGAUCUCAGGGUCCCCUGUGCAUGGAGCCCACAUGUCCACAUCCAGCAUCGAGAAGUGUUCAGACAUUUGCAGGCAGAUGAAGCGGGUUUGCAGGGUUGAGGGGUCUGGAUGAGUCUCCUCUUCCUGGUGGAACACAGAGGGGUUUAACAUACUAUGCAAUUCAAUUCUGAAAAGACUGUUACAUCCUUUUAGUUCCUACUUUACAUCCUAAAUGGGUAAAGAACGGGGCAUCCCAUGGAAAUCCAUGAGGGAAGUGGUAGGUUUUACUGGGGUUUCCACAUCUGAAGUCUGGGGGUAUCCCAGUCUCUUGACUUUGUACCAUUAGCUUUAAUGGGCAUAAUGCCAUUGCUUUCCAAGUGGGUCAGGACCCACUGGUUUUUGGGAAGUCCACCUGUGAAGUGCACUGGUUGCCCAGUUACAUAAAGGGAUAAGCAUUAAUUUCUCAAAAGCUGCCAUUACAUUUGUUGCCAGCCUGGUGCUCCUGUCGUAGUCAGGAUUGAUGUAUUUAGUGAGAGUAUCAAACUUGCAUGUUGCCGUGCAGUACCAAGUGACAUUUCUCCUUAAAUACAGAUCUUGUGUUUGCAACCCUCAAUGCAAGCGUGUUCUGUUACAGUG